CGCGUCGCUCUUGUUUCUCUCACACAGCCCACGCAUCCUCCGAAACCCUACCCUCUCGCGUCACCUUUUUUGGCGGCGGCGGCUCCCCACGCGCUCCUCUUCCCCGCGUUCUCACCAAGUCUCGCCAGGCCACCGGCGGAUCAGAGUCUCUCCAAUACAUGGCGUCUCUCCCUGCGAAGAAACCCUAGAUGUGGCGGCGGUCUGAUGCGGGAGGUGCUACGCCUGCCAUGGCCAUUGGCGGACGGAGCUCUAGAGGCAGCGGUAGCUCGACAUCGACGGCGACGGCGGCCGGACAGGGAAGAAGGACGCGACCGAACCUAGAGAACGACCGGUGGAGAGAACAUGCUCCAUCCCAUGACCCGCGCCGCUGCUCCAACCACUGCUUCGGCUGCUGCUGCUGGUCCAUCUACUUGACCGGGCCGCUGCAGUUCCAACCCAUGAAAACAUUUACGGCGAAGUCAAAGAAUAAGGAGAAAGAAAAAUCAGAGAAGGAGGCAUCAUUGCAGGUGGAGCAAGGAGGACAAUCAACAGAUCUAGCAUUUAUUUUGCUCAAGCUACAGGUUAUUGUUAUAAUAAACAGUGUGCCUUCAUUCAACAUGCUAUCAUGGAGCUCUUAUUGGGCAUGUUGCAACUAGAUGAUGACAAAUUGGAUCCUGCUCAAGAACACCCCAUUGUAUAGAGGUUUUUUCACGGCAAGAUCAUUUGUGUAUUUUGAAAUGCUUGGUCAUGACCUGUAUGUGCUAGAGAAAGAAUGGCUUCACAAGUAUACAACAAAACUUUGACAGGUUAGGUCUCAUUUCCAGAUGAUGUUAAAUUUCGUAUGUAUAUGUCACCAACUUACGAUAUUAUAUCCAUGGCGCACUCUGUUUAGAUAUUAGUGUAUUGGUUGUCCAUGAAGGUGUUGGCAUUGUUCAAAGAAGCUAAAACCAAAAUUAUCCCGUGAUUCCAAAGUGAGUUUCUUCCCCUCAAAAUAAGCACUUGCUAUGAUUACCAUUAGUAUGCUAUUACUUCUGGCCAUGGUUAUGCUUGAUGGGUGAGGUGCUCAUCAUUUAUUUGGUUUUAAUUGGUUGUAACAAUCAGUCGAUGGCAUUAUGCAUCACCAUCAUGUUUCUGGCUUAUUGAAAUAUGCUUCAUGUAGUUAUCAUUGUUCCUAUAAUUGCUCUUGAUUUUUUGAACCAUCAUGUUCUGGUGUGGUACUGGUAUGUUCGUGAUAACCCAUAGUUUCCUUCGUGCGGGAUUUUCCUCUAUUACCACUUGUCAUUUCUCAAAGAAAGAAAUUCAAGGUUGAUGCAUUCCGUGUCAGUUAAGCACCAUCUUUUCCUCUGUUUGAGAUAAUUGGCUUGUUUGGAACUCCUACAGUCCUACUCUUGAGCGCUACUGAUGGUUAGAAGUGAUCUGUACAUACAGAAUUGUUCGGAUGGUUAGGUAAAUAUCGUGUUGUUGGUUACAAUCAUGGGCAUAUGAAUCAAAAUUGUUGUUUCGGAAAUGAUACUCAUUUUAUUUUAUAUGGUGAUCCUUCUUACGAAAUUAUGUUGAUCCUUUGGUUGGGGUAGUUUCUUCGGUUCCCUGUGGUUCAGCAAGUCUGCAAUAGUGUUGACCAUGGCUACAAUAGCUGAAGGGUCUUAUUAUCUAAAGAUGUCUUUCAAAAAAAUCCAGUAGACUUCUUGGGCAAAUAUCUUUUUUGGCAGCUUGAGUUGUUCCAGGCUGCGGGGUUUCUCAUGGCUUAUUUGUAGCUACAAUUUUGCUCCAUCGUGUUGUAUGGCUCAAGUUGGACGCUUAGCCUGGUUACCAUUUUGUUUGUGCACCAAAUUGUAGCUCCAUUUUGGUUUUCUUGUAUCCUGAAUGACUGACAAACUUAUACCCGAUAGAUAUAUGCACUUGACAGUGCAAGCUGAGAUCUUACCGGUCGCUAUAGUCUGGGUCCUAGAAGUUGUACAUGUGUUCUAAUUUAUUUUCGAUUAUUAGUUUUUUGAGCGCUAAGAUUACCUACUAAAUAUUGCUAGCGUUUUCUCUUCUCAAGUUACAUAUAUAGUUGAAUAUAGAAUUGGUUAUUUUGCAGAUCAACAAUAUAGUGGUUCUUCAUGAAUAUGAGUCUCACAAGCAGUGUGAAUUAACUACUGGUGUCGUAGCAUUUUGUGUAGGAUUAUAGGUACAAUGAUUCAUGUUCUACAUAAAUUAGCAUUUUGUGUAGCAUUUUUUCAUAUUGUUCAUGAAUAUGAGUUUCUCACAAGCAGGGUGAGUUCCUCACAAUGCACACUGGUUCCAUACUUCGUAUUUCCUGUCUCCAUCAAAUUUAUGUAUAUCUUUCUCUGAAUUUAAUCUCUGUUUGCCUAUAUUGUUGACUCUAGAUAUCUUCCCCAUCUUGUCCUGCUUGAGUGCUCGGUGAUAUUUCCGCUUAUUAUAGUCUUGAAUAGGUGUAUUAUUUUCACCUGAUCUCUGAACUGUAGAUUGUUAAUGCACUUCUUUGGAGAGAAGAAAUUGUUGCUUAUGUUGGCUAAUUUAUAAGCUUUACAUCUUUCAUGUUGGUCGUUUUACAGGUUUUGCCAAGUUGAUGAGAUUUGGAGACAUGAGCUCUAUAAGAACUCUGUAGGAACUCAAAGUCCAUGGUUAAGCUGUACUUGCUUCCAGAGAUCUUCAAUCAAUUCAAAAAUCACAUUCGAAGCAAAGCACGAAGGUCACUUGAUGACUCCCAUCAGAUAAAGUCAAGAAUAUAUAUGUAGCUCCUGCUAAUCAGGUUAAUGUAUAUAUCAAGGAUCUGUGAAGAUAUAUGUAACUCCUGCUAAUCAGAAUAUUGUAUAUAACAAGAAGAUAACCUUUCCUGCUUAGACUGUAAGUCAAUUGGAUUUCAUUUAUGGACAACAUACUGUACAUUCCUUUUUGCUACAAAAUCUAUUAUUUUUCUAGGGCAUGUAAAAACAAGUUAGGUAUGUAUUGUCGAAGUUCUCACUGAGGUUAGUUUGCACACUGUUUUUUUGGU